rnacentral:misc_RNA from 1 species
AAAGUGCGAAAUGUGAUGCGAUUUGCACGAAUCUGUGAGUCAUCUAAUCUUUGAACGCGAAUGGCACUGUUAUGUAAAUAGCAGUAUGUCUGUUUGAGAAUCGCAAACACGAUCAACUCUAGUUAGAGUUGGAAUUGGCCUCAUGCGUCGCAUGACGCAUCUGGUUUGAAUGGAUCAAGUUGAUGGGCUUCCCAGCGAUGCUCAAUGUGUGCUAGCGAGACAGUCGUCCCGAUCUCACAUUUAGUCUCGUUGCAGAGUCCUAAUCACGGCUUGUAAAUACAUUUAUCUAUUACGAUCUCAAAUCAGGCAAGAUUACCCGCUGAACUUAA